UGUGGGGUAUAGCUAGAAAGAGAGAUUUCUUUCUAGCUAUACCCCAGCAU
rnacentral:ncRNA from 2 species